ACGCUGGCGGCAGGCCUAACACAUGCAAGUCGAACGAGUAAGAGCCGUAGCAAUACGGAGUUCUGCUAGUGGCGCACGGGUGAGUAACGCGUGGGAACGUGCCUUGGAGUUCGGGAUAACAGUUGGAAACGACUGCUAAUACCGAAUAUUCCCUCAGGGGGGAAAGAUUUAUCGCUCCAAGAUCGGCCCGCGUAAGAUUAGGUAGUUGGUGGGGUAAUGGCCUACCAAGCCUACGAUCUUUAGCUGGUCUGAGAGGACGACCAGCCACACUGGAACUGAGACACGGUCCAGACUCCUACGGGAGGCAGCAGUGGGGAAUAUUGGACAAUGGGCGAAAGCCUGAUCCAGCCAUGCCGCGUGAAUGAUGAAGGCCUUAGGGUUGUAAAAUUCUUUUGCAGGGGAAGAUAAUGACGGUACCCUGCGAAUAAGCUCCGGCUAACUUCGUG
rnacentral:rRNA from 1 species